UGUGAGCUAAAAUUUGGUGAGAAUUAACGUGAAAUUAUUGAUAAAAUUUUUUGUCGAUAAUUAAUUAUUAGAAAAGAAAUUCUGAAAAAAACUUUAAAAGUGAACGAUUACCGACAAAAUCACCGAUAAUCUAUUGAAAAAUGAAAAAAAAAAAAAUUUAAAACCCAAUUCCUGAAUCAGGAGCCUAUUUGUACCUAAAAUCAAAAUCCAUAAACUCUCUCUCACUCUUCCAUCUUACCCUUUCAACCUUGAAUCUCCUUAUCUCCGACCGCCCCUCUCUCAUCGUACGUUCGGUCAUUAUCAGUUCCGUGCUCCACCGCAGUCCUCUCCCCAACCGUUCUUCAUCAUGGGCGAUCUCCACCAUCGAUUGGGGAAUUUAUGGAAAAGGAUAAGGAGCUUCGAACUAGUUCAUUAAAUAAAAAAAAAAAAGGCCAAAUACUGGGUCAAAAGAGGCUGGUAUACAUGAAGUGCUAUGUAAGCAUGUGAAGAAAAAACCUUUUGCCUAUGGACUUUGUGAAGAAUGUUAUGAAGAGUUUAUGAAAGUUUCAGGUGGACUUGAUGAAGGAUUAGAUCCACCUACAUUCCAGUGUGCUAAAAAAGUGAGAAUAGAAAAAUUAUCUGAGGAAAAUGCUAAUGGGUUUUAGGAGGUGCAACUAACCAGGCAGCCAUCGGUAAGGGUGACAAUGAUAGAUUACCCAGAGUUGAUGUCAGUUAUGAUGAAUCAGAUAAUUUUUGUGAUAUUGAUGAUUUUGAGGUUGAUGGCUAUCUUCACAAUAAGGAGAAGCGAUUCAGAAGAUAAUUUGGGAAGAAAUGAACCGGGAAUACCUUAAGGAACAAGCAGCGAAGGAAGAAGUCGCAGCAGCUGUCAGGAAGUUUGUACGGUCAACUAUGAUAAAUGUCAAGUGGUUUUAGAUUAGGGUGUUUUAUGGAUUUUGUGGAUAUUUUAUGGAUGUUAGGGAUGUUAUGGAUAAUUUAGAUUAUUUUUAAAUUUAUAAUGUGGAUUUGAUAUUUUAAUUAAUAAUAAUUGAAUUUUUAAAUAAUUUUAUGUGUUUAAAUUGUAAUUUACAGGAUGGAUUUUAUUGUCAAAAUUUUA